UACAAGGACGAGCGCUGGAUCAGCUCCGGACCGAGUCUCACCAUCCCGGUCCUGGAGCCCAGACACAGAGGACGGUACCACUGUCGAGCCUGGAACAAUGUCAGUCGAGCGGGUGAAGCAACUGUGGCCUCAGCCAACGUGGAUCUGGAUGUCAAGUGUCACCAAACAGUCUUCCAGCUGGCCAGAAUCGGAGUCGGCCUCCUGAUCCUCAGCGUUCUCUUAUUCUGCUGCUGCAAACACUCCACUAUCCUGCAGAGCUGCCCGCACCUGCGGAGGGACACGACCAGCGUCGCCACAUCAACAUCACCGGCAGUCGAUCUGGAACUUUAUGAAGAAAUCUAGUUUGUUGCUCCGAAGUCUGUCUACUCUCCACAGUCAACUGGAGAUGACUGACAACACUCUUUGGUCCCUCUUUUAUGUCCAUGGCUUUUGAUGUCCUUUUUGUGGGAUACUGUCAACAUAUAAUCUGGUCCACUGUUCUUAUCGGCUUGCUUCUGCUGGUUGACUGGCUCAUCCGGUCUCUGUGGUAAAUAAUUCCUCCAUACCAUCUCUGAUCCCCAGAGGUUCCUUAUCCUUCACAUUCCUUCACUUAGAGGAAGGUAGGUACUUUCCCCCACAAACUCAGGAUCAGAUCAGGCAGUUAAAUGGCUCAUCGACUGCUCCUUGGUCCUCAUACCAGGUGGUUCCUACCUUCCAUAACUCACUCUUUCACCCCACACAGUCUUCCACACAUACAGGGGCAAAUUGAGGUUACCUUACCCAAUAUCACAGCGUCUGCUGGACUCAAUCUUCCAUUAGACAAAUGCUCAUGCGUGUGUGUGUGUGUGGUUUUCUUUCAAGAACGCACACCUGAAAUGUAACCAGCAUCGAGAGAAUCUACGAACUGAACUGAGGAGUCAGAAUCACAAACUGACAUCCCACAGACAUGUCCUGGCAGUCGAGACGUCUCCAAGUAGUUUAUAGUUGAAAAUGCCUUCCACUUGAACCAGGACAGUGUAGAGGACUGGUUGAGGCGCUGAGUGAUCUCGGGGACUCUUAGUGCUGUCUUCACAGACCGUACCUCCCGUUCCCAAGCCCCUCCGAAGUGUGGCGCACUUGGCGUGUUACACUUAAAGGAGGUUUUGCCAUUUCAUCUUUCAAUUCAGGUGCCAUGGUGUUGAAUGCCUCCCACAGCUCCCGUUCUCCCCCAACAAAGUUAGUACCGUUGUCACACAGAAGUUCAAAUGGUGUGUCAUGCAAUGAAUGAGCAAUGAAUCUGCACAAUGACAACAGGAAGGCAUCUGUAUGAAGGCUGGCGCCAUCCCGAAUAGACUUUCUCACAUUAAGUAAAUAUCAUUAUUCCAUAUGUAUAUACAUAUAUGUAGCGCAGUGCACCUGUUACGCCCUUGGAUGGCGCUAACCUUGUGAGAAUGUUUAUGUUUGUUGGGGUUUCUUCACAUGUUUGUUCAGUGUGACUUGCCAUUGAGGUGGACAUGACAAUCACUGAGUAUUUCGUGGUCUGUUUAGAGUUGGUUGUUGACAUAGCAAUAUAUUUUGUAUUCACUUCAUAUCCAUGUGUUUGACUGAUCUGUGAUGUAUGCUAUUUUGUCAAUUUUAUUGGGAAUGAUCGCUGUCUGUCUGUCAAAAGUCCACAUAUACGAUCGACUCACCGAUCGAAUUCAGCUUCCAUAUUGCGCUACUGUGUAUUCACCGAUUGCUGCCGCAGUGUUGGCGGAGCUCGUCAUCUACCGUGUGAUGCUGCCACCUGCCGUCCAGCGAAGUCCAUUGCACUAUACUGUCCAAAUGUGGCGUAAUAAUUAACAGUCACGGUUUGACUGAAAACGCGAGGCUUGGCGGAGCCAAGUGCCUGUCUGUUUUUCAUUCAAAAUCAAUAUGCUCGUUUAUGCUUUGGGUUUUUUUUCUGCUUUUCUAGAUAACUGAUUACCUAUCCCUUUAUUCA